UUGUAUUGCCAUGGGAGCUAACGAGUUGUUUCUCCUCCCAUGACAUCUUCCAGUUCAAUACAAAACAUCCAAAUGCACUAGUAUGACAUUCUAUAUUUAUUAUAUACCCUAUUAUCUUGCAUUAAUCUGUUACUUAAUAA